CAUAGUUGUCCUCAUGAACUCAACCUCGCCGUUCUUUUCAUAAUCUGGAAAAUUCAUGUUGCUCUUCUCAAUCGCUUAUAACCUUCCCUGUCGUUUUCUCUUCACCUCCCAUGUGGUUCAAUGUCUUUCUUUUAAUUCGGGAUUAAUUUUCAUAAAACCCAGCCACGAUAGUGCCUCUUCCGUUUCCUUCACUUGGAAUCUAUAUAUAUCAGCUGGUUAAAAGCAUGAUGGAUCCUCAAAAGUCAGUUUAUCAUUUUAUAAAGCGUAGAAAGAUUCCCGAAGAUGGAUUCCUCCGAUGCUGUUCUCGCGCAAUCGCUCUCGACUCGGCUUCUGUAAUGGCCAGCGACGGGAAAACGGAGAAAGAUGUUUCUGCCGAUUCAACGACUUCUCUUCUCAGUGAAGAGGUUUGUGUCGGGUUUCACCUUUUCUGGACUGGUAAGAGUUUCGGCAUUUUCUUCGAUUUUUUUUUCUAUGUAAGUAGGUAUUAUUUUUUCACUAACUGUGAGGCGACUCUUCUAUAGAAAGAGAUACUUUUAGCCAAUAAUGGAGAAUCGUCUCCUAUUUCUCAGGCUAUGGCUCAGGAAGAAGAACAGCUGCUCAAACUUCGGGAAGAUGAGGAGAAAGCUAAAUCUCCUUUUUUUCCUUUCUCUUGGUUGGUUUAAGAACAUGAUUUUUCUUAAUUGAGUUAGUGUGCUCUGCUCGAAUGGGAUGGAAGGGGAGAACAAAAAAGCCGACCCCGAGAAUAAAGGAGGUCGGGACGCAAAAGAAAUUAAGUCUGCUACUCAGUAUCUAAAGAAGGUCAUGAAUCUGCCAACUCAUAUCUGACAGGAAGAAAGAGUCAUGAAAGAGCAGAGUGAAUUCAUAGGAAUCUACUCCUCCACGAUUUGAAAUCAUCAUCGAGAUAUGCGUUUGCAAAUUGAGGAAAUUUCUUGCGAGGAGCUUCUUGCGUUGAGUGAGCGGAUUGGAACUGUAAUCACUGGUUUGACAGAGGAAGAUGUCAAGAGCCAUCUGAAAACAAGAACAUGUUCUGUAAUCAAUCGUGCAGAAGAAUCACCCAAACUAAAGAUAAAACUGAACCUUGCACCAUAUGUCAGGUAACAGAA